UCUUGUCUUGAUUUUUCCAGGAAACUCCAAUUUAUUGUUCAUAUAUGAAAGUCUCGUUAUAGUGACAAUGUAGGAAUAAGACUCAUCAUGAUCACAACAUGCUCUGUUUUCUUCUGCUGUCGUAAUAGUAGAAAUAUGUAGUUUUUUUGUGUGUGUGUGUGUGUUGAGUUUAUAAAUGUCAACAAGUUUUCGAAGAAUUUGAAUAGUUCUUGCCUCAUGUGUCAUGUCGCUGCUUACUCUUCAAGAGGUUAUCUAUGAGAAAUUUCCAUGCAAAUCCACCACUUUGUUAGAAACUGAAUCUCCUU